CUUGAUCAAUUAUAAGAGGUCAAGCCUGCCCAGUGACAUUGUUCAACGGCCGCGGUAUCCUAACCGUGCGAAGGUAGCGUAAUCACUUGUCCUUUAAAUAAGGACUAGUAUGAACGGCUUCACGAAGGCUAUACUGUCUCCUUAAUCUAAUCAAUUAAACUAAUCUCCCCGUGAAGAAGCGGGGAUUCAUCUAUAAGACGAGAAGACCCUAUGGAGCUUUAAACAUCUAAGACACUUGAUUUUUACCUACUAAACUUCAUGUAACCUAUCCUUUUGUCUUAAGUUUUAGGUUGGGGUGACCACGGAGAAAAAUUAAACCUCCACGUAGAAAGAAAAUUCUUUUCUAAGCAAAAAGCCACAUCUUAACGCAUCAAUAUAUUGACUUAACUUGACCCAAUUUCUUGCUCAACGAAC
rnacentral:rRNA from 1 species